rnacentral:rRNA from 1 species
GCAAGUCGCACGGGAAUAUUUUGGUAUUUAUAUUGGAAUAUUCUAGUGGCGCACGGGUGAGUAACACGUGAAUUACAUGCCCUUGAGUGGGGGAUAGCCCAGGGAAACUUGGAUUAAUACCCCAUGGUAUCGCAAGAUUAAAGGUGGCCUUCGGGCUGUCGCUCAAGGAUUGGUUCGCGCCCUAUUAGCUUGUUGGUGAGGUAACGGCUCACCAAGGCUACGACGGGUACCUGGUUUGAGAGGACGAUC